ensembl:lncRNA
GGUGAUUCUGAGCCCUUUGCUCCCUAUGGCAUUUCUGGUUCCUACUUCCGUUCAGGCACGUUCAGGCACGUUCAGGCACGUUCAGGCACGUUCAGGCACGUUCAGGCACGUUCAGGCACGUUCAGGCACGUUCAGGCACGUUCAGGCACGUUCAGUUUUAGAGUGGCGCUGGUGGUGCGUGCAUUGUGGCGAAUUGGGGCCAGAGAUCGCGUAAAGUGAUCGCAACAUUUAGCCGGUGGCUGAAUGAUGAGUAUGUAUGUCAAGCCGCGGUGCCUGAGCCAGUGAGUCUUGGUGGGACAGGGGAGGCUAGCUGCAUUUAGUCAGUGGUGUGCUUCACAGCGUGCUCAGUUUGCUAAGACAACUUCCUUAUGGUGCAGGUAGUGUGACUUUUGGUGUGACUUGCAGUGGUUUUGGAUGACCUCCCGAGUUGUAGCUGGCCUGCUUUGUUCCUGCCAAGCCUGGGCCUGGAGAAGUCCUUAGUUUUAAAACCCUUAUUGUGCUUCAUGGGAGAGCAAUUUUAUAUUUU